UUACGGAUGAGUUUACUCAUCAAAUAAGAUUCUCCACCAGAUCUAUCAAGAUCAAACAUAUAUGAAAUGAGUUGUUAAAACGUCAAAUUCAGUCAAGGAAUUAGUUUAGCUCAAAGGCAAAUAUGUAUAAUAAUCGUCAUUACACAUACAUAUUUUACAAUUCUGAUUAGCAGUAUAGUGAUACAAAUCCUAUAUGUAUUCGUCCAGCAAAUGCAUCAAUGAUUUAUACACUAACGUUAUCUCAUGACCAUAAGUAACGUGACUUUACCAAACAAAAUUUAAGAGCAGAGGUAGCAUAGAUCGAAACACAGUUUAAGUGACCAAGUUUGUGAGCGUGAACAAAGAGAACCCAUCACAAAUGCCUUUAUGGGUUUUUAUUAAACUCUACUCUACAUGGUAAACAAAAUGAAGACAAACAAAUACAUGAAACACAAAUGCGCUAGGAUGCGCAGAGAGAGAGAGAGAGAAAGUGAGAGGGCAUGGCCGCGAGGCCGGUAAAACAUGUCUGAAAACCAUUAAAAUCAUCUUUAACACAAGAGGCACGAUCUUAACGCAGCUUAUCUAUAUUUAGAAACGGAUACUUGCAAUAUUGUUGUUGGACCAAUAUCUGUAUGCGCGUUGAUGGAAAUCUUGAAUGGUUUCAGAAUGCAGUCCUGUUGAAACGCUGAGUUUGGGUUCUGAGUCCAAAGUUCCAUGGCCAAAACGGACUCCCCAGAGGGGAGUCCCUUGGAGUGUCUUCUCGUCCUCUUUCUUUUCCUUUUGUGAUUCCAAAAGUCCACUAAAAACAUGGUUCGGUGAUGCUGUUUUAAAUGCAUACCUGCCCUGCCCCCAGAUGGUCUGCGGGCCAAUGCCAUGAAAGUGAAAAGGGGGCCUAAGAAAGAUCCUUUGUUUCUCAUGGCACCUCAUUUGCAUAGCUCUGACAGUUUGGUCAGUUUGCGUUUAAUACCUAAACUUAGUUAUGGGCAUAGUAUGAUGUGUGCUAUGUUUUUUAUAACAUAGCUCAUCAUAUAGGGAAUUCAAAGAUGUGUAGUUACACAUGAAACAUGCAAGGCAUUGAACUGUGAACGUAUGAAUACGUCAAAUGAACCCUGAAUCAAAACUUGCAUAUCUAACAAAUACAGAGUAUAUAAAAUAGCACGAGCGACAACACACAACCUAGACAUUUAGAUACAUUUACAGAGAAGAAUAGUUUAAAUCAAAUAAGUUCCUAUUUGUCAGAGAAGUUUCUCUGCUUGGUCUCAUGUCUUAAGUAAGAGAUGAGACAGAGACUUAUCAACAAUGCUUUGAAGCGAAGGAGUCGUAAAUAUCCAACAGAGGAACCAAAUGGUUAUAACACUCUCUGUGAGAGUUCAACCUAAAACCAGACCCCAUGGAGCUAGGUUUCCUUUGGUCUUUGAAGAUGUUAUCUUAAUACCUAGACAAAAGGGAGUGAGAGGUUGAAUGGCUUGAUCCAGACACUACAUAUCCCCCCUUUCGGAAGAGGAAGUGCGAAUGUAAACUUCAGCUGACGGUGGAUAGUUGGAUCAUGAUGGCGGGAUCACUGGAGGUUCCUAUUGGUCCACAGGAUCUCGACAUACAGGCAGAGAAUGCUCCCGAGUGGUCAGGCAUUGUCUUUUUAUUGGGUACCUUUCAUCUUUUCGAUCCUGCUUAGAAAUCAAGGGAGAGCACCCCUGCACCUGUUUGCUGGUUCUGGCAACAGGUUGGUUAGGGCGUGUCCUGUCUCCACAGAGAUGCACAGCAGCAGUCAUGGAUGAAACAGCAGGUGGGAUGGAAUGUUGGCUUCCACACAAAUGCCUGUAGUCCUGUGUCAUGGGGAGGGGUGUUGUCUACAUAUCCCCAACCGUCUCAAGUAGCUGGGCAAAGUUAUGAUACCAAAUCUUGUUACUCACUUCACUUUCCUCUUGUGAAUCUUGCCGGAUGCAGCAUGCUCUCUGGCCUUCACAUGUUCUGCAGUGAUUGCUGGGCAAAGGCUGGUGUCACACUCCGGGGUCUUUCAUUGAAGUACUGGUGAGCAGUGUAGGACAAGGUUGGGGUCUCAUUGCUGGCCCUGGCGAUGUUGUGGUGGUGCCGUCUGAACUCAGGCUGUGGUAAGAGCCAUGUUCUGCUGGUGCUUGGUUACCCUCCUUUCGUUCUGGUCACGCUGUCAGUUUAGACCAGUGUUAAGGCAGUGUUUGGCAAGUCCAGCUUUCAGAUGGAACUACGUUCAGCAAGGGUAAAUCAGGCAUGUGGUGAAGCGCAGGUGCCAUUUGGUGUGUACAUGGCACCGUCUUGAGCGCUCGUUUACAUGAGUGGGCAGUUCUUUUAACAUUUCACGAACCUUGUAGGUGGUGUCCUGUGUAGCCCAGGAUGCAGCUAGCUUGGGAUGUAAUGUCAUGUGGUUCUGUGAGUGGGGCCACAUAGUUGACAUUAGUUCUGCAUCAUUGUCUUUGUGACGAGCAGCUGUAGCACUGGCCGUUGAUGGCAGGUGCAGGGCGUGGUCCAUCUCCUUGGACUGGUAAUCCGCUGUCAUGCUCUUCAUAAAGACAUUGUUCAAAAUCUUUGGUAACUGUACUCACUUGUACAGUAUGCAUGCUGCAAAAAGCUGACUUAUUCAGUAAAUAGGGGGUGUGGCUUCCAGAGUGGGCCAUGCUCCACGUAUUCCCUUGAAUAUGUGUGGUUGAAGGCUUGGUCACACUGUGUGUUGAGCUGAACAGUGACCCCUUUUGGUGAAUGCAGGUACAACAGUCUAAUUUAUUCACCAGAGUGCAAAACUCUGGGCUGUUCUAGUAGAUCGUAGAAUGUUCUCGCACUUGAGAGGGCCCCCCAUGGGGCUGUGAGAUUAGCGAGAACCAGGAAGUAGCAGGUUCAGCAUUGGUUAUUCCCUUUCAAGUUCAAGGCACAGGUGUCCUGGGCCGUUGCUGUGGUUGACAGGCAUAAGUCCAAUGGAAACUGCGCGCACUUGACAGAAGAGGAAAUGUCUGAAACUGGUGUUGUUGGAGAAAGAGUGUGAACAGUGUAAAGCUGAUGUCUGAGAUAUCUGCCCAUGGUUCCUGUAGGGUGCCAUGUUCAUCUUGUAAUAGGAUGACUGUCUCUGUGGUCGACCAGCAGGUUACAGAGAUCUGGACAUUUUUCUCAGACGGAGGGCAUUCAAAAGGGUUGUUUGUUUCACAUGCCACUUGUGGUCAAAAAGAGUCUGAUUUGGACUUUAAAUCCUCCUGUUGAGGUUUCUUGUGGAAUCAGCUCCUUUGAUGUCCCCAGGAUCUCUGCUGUCUCAGACGUAGUUGCACUGUUCUUUUGCUCUCUGGGGAGGUGUCAUCCAUGGUGUUGAGAUGAAUUCCUCGAUGACUGUUGGGCCGGAACGGGUCAGUGGCUCCUAGGUUGCCAGCUGGGUUUCCACAGGGCGCCGUCUUUCGAGUUCGAAGAAAGUGGUGACACUGUGUUGUCUCAGGGCAUCCUGUCUGGUGCUUGGCUGUUCCCGGCAGGCUGUAACAUCUGCUGAGUCUCUGCUGAAGAUCUGCUACUGUGGUGGACUCUCCAUAGUCAGUUCUUUGUGAUGUGCAGAGAUAGGCAGGAUUUACACAGUCUUUAUGGAGGCGGCGCUAUGUUCUCUGUAGUUCCGCAGAUAUCAAGUGAUCGUGGCGGAAGAAGGCUGUAGCGCUUAGGUUAUGACUCAAAGUGUGAUGCGGAUUUCUGAGGGGGAAGAGUUUUGCUUUGAAGUCUUCUUCCCUUUUGGCCGGUUCUGUCGUCUGACAUAGGCUCACAUGCUGGCUGUAGCAGAUGUGUUGUAGCUGCUGAAAUCCGCUUUGACAGUAUCUGACUGCUGGCAUAGGAUGCUGUGGUCCUCUUGGCUGGAGGUGAUCCUAAGCAGGUGAUCUGUCUCUUGUGAUCACAAUGGGCAGUGUUAAUGACUGAGAGUCAAUGUUUUGCAGGUAGGCAUUUGUUGUGGCCUCCUGCAGAGUUCAUGGUGACAGCAUUUAGUGGUGACAGCUGUCAUGUUUCUGGCCAGCUUGCUGGGGUCUGUGGGGCCAUGCAGCGUGUGUGUCUACAGGUUCUUCUGGAUUGUUCCUGCCCCACCCCUCUGUGUUUGCUGGCUAGAAAGGUGUGAACAGUGGGGUUUCACCCACCCCCCUUUUCGCAGCUUUGGGCUUUUAGCUGGGGGACACGACAGGGGAGAAUCUGUUGCAUUCACCUGUCUGUUCACACUGUAGUCUGCAAGCUAAGUUCAGUUCAUUUUGAUUCCGUUGCUGAGUCAUGGCUUGGACUUCAGCAUGCACUGCUUGCAGAGGGCCUUUAUAGGCCUUGGCCGUGGCAUUGGGUUGCUGUCUGCCGGGGCCAUUAUAAAGAGCUUCUGCAUCUUGGAGUUUUCCUACCAGCUCCUCUCUGGCGUCUGCUCCAAUAGCUCUCUUUGCUCAGUCUGUGUUGCUCAGGACUCUUGUAGCUUUUCAUCUCCUCCUGUAGCUCCUGGUCCUCUUCAUCCUCUGUCGUUUGCAGGUCCAGCUGGUCUGGGCGGUUCUGCAGGUGCUUCUGGCUCUAGUAGGACGAUCUGGUCGGGGGCGUGGUCACCGAUGAUCCUGGCUGUGCACUUCAGAUGAGUUCUUGGCUCUCUGUAGUUGUAGCUCUGGUUCAGAUCGUGGUCCAUUCGCCGGAUUAGGUCGUCCGACCAACUGCUCUCAGCGCAGUUGCCGUGUGCCGAUGUUGGUCCCAGGCAGGAGUCCAUCGCAGCGCUUUGCCUGGUCUCUAGCUGGACUGGCAGGUGACAGGAUUGGAUGGUCUGGACAAAUUGAGACACAGGGGAGAGAGAAAGGCACAAACAGCAAGAUGCAAGUCCGUACAGAUCUACUGAGCUAAAUAUGUGGGCUAUGUGUUGAAUGCUUAACUGAGUUGGUCAGUUAGUGACGCAAACUAAACGCUUAUUAUCCUAGCCGUGAAGGCGGGGACGGAUAAUUGUGUGGGUGAACACAGGAAAAUUAUGAAAAACGUUGCUGAAGAGUUUUACCUAUGAGGUCAUUCUGUGACUUAGGCUAUUCGAUUCAUCAACAUAAUUACCAAAAAAUUUACUGAUGUUCAGACAGGUUCAGUCUCUGAUAAGAAGAAAAACAAAACCACAUAAAUCAAGAGAAAGAGAGGUUAGAAUAGAGAAAGAGGGUUUCUUCUUCAAUUGGGAGUUAAUCCCAAACACCUUAAAGAGUGCAAUCUGAUUGUUUUGAUCAAAGUUUAAAUUCAAUUAAGUUGGUUUAAUUAAAAUUCAAGUAUUAUCAAAUACAAUUCUAACUGCAAGGAAGAGAAUGUUAGCAACCCUGAUUCAAAUAAAGAAAAAUCAAAUCAUCAAAACAAAGUGGAAUAAUAUUAAUUAUUAUUAUAGUUUGUAUAUAACAACAAAUAAUAAAUAUUCUCAAAUACAGUGAACCGUAAAAUAGCAGAAUAAUGAAAUCAUAAAAUCAAACAAAAGGAGAGACUGGCUGAGACUUCACACCUAGCGUUGCCCAAACAAACGGGAGAAGUGUUAAGACACUUUAAGACAAACUGACCUCUAGUGUUAGUAGAAGGUUAAACGUCUUCUGCCGGACUUCCGGUUCCACAACUCUGUGUGGAAUUACACUUGCGUUUACGCACAGUUUCUAUGGCGACGAGUGUAAUUUAAUCGCGUGUCUAAUGGCUCGUGUCUGUUUACUGAACACGGGUACAUGGCUUUUCAACCUACACAAACAAUAAACACACAAUACUACACUUUAACUGACUAACGGGAUUUCUUCGCCGUCCUGAAAGUUAUUUGUGUACUUGGUCGGGAUUCUUCGUCGACCGUAACAUAAAACAAAAACACACAAUACUACACUUUAACUGACUAAUGGGAUUUCUUCGCCGUCCUGAAAGUUAUUUGUGUACUUGGUCGGGAUUCUUGUUAAACCCCCCUUUAAACAGUAAAACUGACCCGGAGUUAUUUACUUACACUGUAACGAAUUGCUGUAAAAACUACAGCGUUAUUUUACAGAAGCUGACUGUAUUUUAAAUAAUACAGAAUAUUGCUGUAAAGUGCAAUGCAUUCUGGGGUCACGUGACGGAUUAACUCAAUGUACAGAAUAUUGCUGUAAAUUUCAAAUCUACAAUGGCGGGAUGAUCUUCAACAGUCGAGAUUGGGGUAGUGCGCAAAAUGAAUGAUUCACACCUGUGGUAAGUAACUUAUUACGUAUUUUUUUUCCAUAUUUGGUAACUAUCAUACUGGUAACUUUAUAUAGAGGUAUCUAAAUUCGCGGUUCAUAUUGCUAACCCCGGAUUCAACCUCCAUCCGCGGGGACCGAAGGAGUCUUGCGGGGUUUCAGCAGCGCCGUCGCGGUAAGAUUUCAAACAUUCUCCGUCGCUAUAGCACCUGAGGACAGAAGUUGUUCAUGUUAUUUAGAGUUUUUGUUCACACCAGGAGUGAAGGCGGUAUGUGACGAGCUACAGUUCAUUGUAUUAGUAAGUUGACGGUUGUUUUUUUAAUGUUGAACAUCGCGCACGCCGUAGACUCGGUAAAAGUUACAUGCUUCGACAGUUGUGAUACCACACUCGCUCGUGAUUAUUUUGUGGUGUAAUUCAAAUUUGCAAAUGCAGUCAUCCGUUAAAUCGAGAGACCAAAUUAAAAUGAGUCACCAUAGCUUGAGGUAAGUCGAUGUUCACGGAGGAUAGCCCGGUAAAGUGAUUAAUGUACGUAACCAUCUAGAUAUACAGUUUAUGUAUCGGAGGCCAGCUGAGAGCUUGAGCAAAAGACGUUAGCGACACCCUCAUUGUAUAGCAGGCCUGUCUCACAAAUAGGACCGUUGGAGGGUGGGAGUGAGACCCGUUACAAAAUACUAUUGUGACAAUUUCUUGACCGUGACAUCCCUAACGUUAGUUGGAUUACAUUUCUGUAUAAGUACGGUUUUAAGUGUAAGUUACUCUGUUUAAUUUGCUUAGAGUUUGUUUGUAGAGUCACUUAUACUAAAAUGUAGUUAAAAUGUAAAAUGCUUAAAGAUAAUUGUAUAGUCACUAUUAACUAUUACUAUUGUCACAUGUAUAAUUGUUUGUUUUAGGACACACUUUGCUAUGCAGGCCACUGGAUGCUGACUACUGAAGGUUAGGUUGUGUGUGACUGUGCUCAGCACAGCUUCAUGUCUGGCCUUCCCACUCUGUUCAUAGCAUGUUACAUAUUCAAUCUUGAGUACCAGGAUGGGGCAGCAUGUACUUGGAGUCCAAUGAAAGAUAUUAAUCCAGAGAGUGGAACAAGCAGCGUCAUCUAAAAUGCCAGGAUACAGAAGAAACAGGUUGCAGUGAACCCACAUGUCGCCGCUCUUCUAAACACAAUGAUGAAUAUUCAGUGUAAUCGAUGAAAAUUCCAGCUACUUGUUGUGCUCUGAUGGAUCAAGAUGUGGACCGUUUUACAGACUCACUUGGGCCUUGUUUUGCAAUGUUGUUUCAUGAUGGUAAUGUUGGUUAACGUGUUGUUUAAACAUGAAUGUUUAAAGAGCCAUGUUGGAUACUAUGAAGUUCUUACUGAAUAAAAUUAUACAACAACGUACACAAUUUGUCUGUAAUGUAUUUUUGUAUCAAUUAAAAAAAAAUAAACACUGUAUAUCCAGUAUGCAAAACAUACUGGAUAUACAGUGAUUUAUGUAUUUCUUCUAAAUAAAGUAAAUUAAAAUCAAGCAAUUUGCUGUAAAAAAUACAGCAUUAUACUGUUGCUAUUCAAAAUUACAGUUUUUCCUGUAUUCUGCAAUUACAGUAAAUGGCUGUAAAUUAAAUUACAGUACUGUGGCUGUACAAUUUACAGUAACUGGCUGGCAACCCUGCUGCCAGUAGUUUACUGUAAAUUUUACAGGAUUUUUUUUACAGUGUAUAAAAUCCGCUGGGUUAAGCGAAUGGGAGAAACAUUAUCAGCUAGCUACACUGAUUGUUCACCCCAGGGAGCGCAAUAGCUUAGUUCAUUAGCACUGGAAUUCACAUCAGUAACACCUAAAGCUAUGCAUUAAAAAUAAGGCCUUUGGUAAGAUGAGGGAGGAACAUCGCUCACUCUGUCUUCUUCGCUCUAAAAGAGGAUUUCUUCGCUCAAUUUAGGCGGUAAAAUAAUAAUACAGUGCGCUAUAAAGAGAUUUCUUCGUCUUUAUGCUGUCACUAAAUCUUUAACAGAGUUUGAGGUUUUCUUUGCGAGAAGCUCAAGAGUCUGCUAAGGAUAGGUGGGCGGGUCCCCACCUUCAUUCAUACAUAUCAAAGUGCAAUUUAACAGAGUAUCUGGUUUCAAUAAACACACAUAAAAACACACAUGAAUAAUCACUGAGUUCUGCUCACAAAACAAGGUUUAAAACUGCGCCCGCAUUCUCUCCACCAAUUUAUGUAGCGUUUUUAGCUGCUUGUUAAAUUACGGAUGAGUUUACUCAUCAAAUAAGAUUCUCCACCAGAUCUAUCAAGAUCAAACAUAUAUGAAAUGAGUUGUUAAAACGUCAAAUUCAGUCAAGGAAUUAGUUUAGCUCAAAGGCAAAUAUGUAUAAUAAUCGUCAUUACACAUACAUAUUUUACAAUUCUGAUUAGCAGUAUAGUGAUACAAAUCCUAUAUGUAUUCGUCCAGCAAAUGCAUCAAUGAUUUAUACACUAACGUUAUCUCAUGACCAUAAGUAACGUGACUUUACCAAACAAAAUUUAAGAGCAGAGGUAGCAUAGAUCGAAACACAGUUUAAGUGACCAAGUUUGUGAGCGUGAACAAAGAGAACCCAUCACAAAUGCCUUUAUGGGUUUUUAUUAAACUCUACUCUACAUGGUAAACAAAAUGAAGACAAACAAAUACAUGAAACACAAAUGCUCUAGGAUGCGCAGAGAGAGAGAGAGAGAAAGUGAGAGGGCAUGGCCGCGAGGCCGGUAAAACAUGUCUGAAAACCAUUAAAAUCAUCUUUAACACAAGAGGCACGAUCUUAACGCAGCUUAUCUAUAUUUAGAAACGGAUACUUGCAAUAUUGUUGUUGGACCAAUAUCUGUAUGCGCGUUGAUGGAAAUCUUGAAUGGUUUCAGAAUGCAGUCCUGUUGAAACGCUGAGUUUGGGUUCUGAGUCCAAAGUUCCAUGGCCAAAACGGACUCCCCAGAGGGGAGUCCCUUGGAGUGUCUUCUCGUCCUCUUUCUUUUCCUUUUGUGAUUCCAAAAGUCCACUAAAAACAUGGUUCGGUGAUGCUGUUUUAAAUGCAUACCUGCCCUGCCCCCAGAUGGUCUGCGGGCCAAUGCCAUGAAAGUGAAAAGGGGGCCUAAGAAAGAUCCUUUGUUUCUCAUGGCACCUCAUUUGCAUAGCUCUGACAGUUUGGUCAGUUUGCGUUUAAUACCUAAACUUAGUUAUGGGCAUAGUAUGAUGUGUGCUAUGUUUUUUAUAACAUAGCUCAUCAUAUAGGGAAUUCAAAGAUGUGUAGUUACACAUGAAACAUGCAAGGCAUUGAACUGUGAACGUAUGAAUACGUCAAAUGAACCCUGAAUCAAAACUUGCAUAUCUAACAAAUACAGAGUAUAUAAAAUAGCACGAGCGACAACACACAACCUAGACAUUUAGAUACAUUUACAGAGAAGAAUAGUUUAAAUCAAAUAAGUUCCUAUUUGUCAGAGAAGUUUCUCUGCUUGGUCUCAUGUCUUAAGUAAGAGAUGAGACAGAGACUUAUCAACAAUGCUUUGAAGCGAAGGAGUCGUAAAUAUCCAACAGAGGAACCAAAUGGUUAUAACACUCUCUGUGAGAGUUCAACCUAAAACCAGACCCCAUGGAGCUAGGUUUCCUUUGGUCUUUGAAGAUGUUAUCUUAAUACCUAGACAAAAGGGAGUGAGAGGUUGAAUGGCUUGAUCCAGACACUACAACAUAUUUGCUGGGAAACCAUGUAGAAACCUUUUUUCCUGAUUGUCUUGGAACAACAAUUGUUCCAUUCAUUGCAGAACGUAAUGAAAACACAACUACAGAUUAUCUUUAUUAUUGAGCCCUGAAUAAGCUUUAACUUGUGGUACUUUCUAAAUUUG